UACCGGGUCGUCCAAUGGUAGGACAACGGCCUUUGGAGCCGUGAAUUGAGGUUCGAGUCCUCACCCGGUAGCCA
rnacentral:tRNA from 2 species